ACUCAAAUGAAUAGACGGGGACCCGCACAAGCGGUGGAGCAUGUUGUUUAAUUCGAAGCAACGCGAAGAACCUUACCCACACUUGACAUCCCAAGUAUGAUUUCCAGAGAUGGAUUUCUUCAGUUCGGCUGGCUUGGUGACAGGUGCUGCAUGGCUGUCGUCAGCUCGUGUCGUGAGAUGUUGGGUUAAGUCCCGCAACGAGCGCAACCCUUAUUGUUAGUUGCCAUCAUUUAGUUGGGCACUCUAAUGAGACUGCCGGUGUCAAGCCGGAGGAAGGUGGGGACGACGUCAAGUCAUCAUGGCCCUUACGUGUGGGGCUACAAACGUGCUACAAUGGUGGUGACAGUGAGCAGCCAGGCCGCGAGGUCGAGCUAAUCUCUAAAAACCAUCUCAGUUCGGAUUGUUCUCUGCAACUCGAGAGCAUGAAGUUGGAAUCGCUAGUAAUCGCGCAUCAGCAUGUCGCGGUGAAUACGUUCCCGGGUCUUGUACACACCGCCCGU
rnacentral:rRNA from 1 species